rnacentral:rRNA from 1 species
UUUUACGGGAAGAACCUUACCUACUCUUGACAUCCAUGGAAUCUUGCAGAGAUGCGGGAGUGCCUUCGGGAACCAUGAGACAGGUGGUGCAUGGCUGUCGUCAGCUUGUGUUGUGAAAUGUUGGGUUAAGUCCCGCAACGAGCGCAACCCUUAUCCUUUGUUGCCAGCGAUUUGGUUGGGAACUCAAAGGAGACUGCCAGUGAUAAACCGGAGGAAGGUGGGGAUGACGUCAAGUCAUCAUGGCCCUUACGAGUAGGGCUACACACGUGCUACAAUGGCGUAUACAGAGGGAAGCGAAACCGCGAGGUGGAGCGAAUCUCAGAAAGUACGUCUAAGUCCGGAUUGGAGUCUGCAA